rnacentral:rRNA from 1 species
AUGAGGACUAAUCUGUCUCUUACGGGCCAACCAAUGAAAUUAAUCUUUCAGUACAAAAGCUGAAAUAAAAACAUAAGACGAGAAGACCCUGUGGAGCUUCAAACCAAAAACACCCUGCAUGCUCCUCAGGUUUUUAGUUGGGGCGACUUCGGAGCACAAUAAAACCUCCAAAAUCUUUAUCUUCAAGAUUAACAAACCAAAAACUUUAUUAGACCCAGCAAUGUAUAACAUUGUCUGACCACUGAACCAAGUUACCCCAGGGAUAACAGCGCCAUCCCCUCCUAGAGUCCAUAUCAACAAGGGGGUUUACGACCUCGAUGUUGGAUC